GGCGCGAUGGCGAAGAGGUAACGCGGCUGUCUGCAAAACAGCUAUGCAGGGGUUCGAUUCCCCUUCGCGCCU
rfam:Microgenomates (Gottesmanbacteria) bacterium GW2011_GWB1_43_11 TV61_C0003, whole genome shotgun sequence.